rnacentral:lncRNA from 1 species
CUCCUGAGCCACUGGGAUUAUAGGCAUGCACCAUUGCACCUGGUGAGCAAUAUGAUUCUUGCCAUAGAUUUGGAGGCUGAGAAGCAGCUCAUCCAAUCUAGUAAUGCACCUCAGUCCAUGCAGCAAGUUUUGGAGAUUGGAUCUGAACUUGCUAUUCUUCCUCUACAGGAGCUAUAUGUUGAUCCCUUUCAAAAGUAAAAAAUUGUUAUUAAAAAGGUGUAUUUGAGCCUCUGUAAGGAGGCUCCUAGGCAGGAAGGGGUACCCUCUGCUGUGUUUGCUCUUGGGUUCAAUCAUGGAGAAUGACUUGGAAUUGGUUAGAAAUGAAAUCCAACCCAGUUCGCCCCAAUUCCAGAGGGUCCAGGGAAUAGGUAAGGGAGCAGGGGGUGUCUGUUUCUAGUUUACUAAGUACUCAGCCAAAGCCCUUUUGGUUCAAACUUUUAGAUUCAUACUGGGAAAAAAAAUAUCCAAAAUGUCCAUUUUGGUAAAUGGAGUAGAAGAAAUAUUCUUGCAUCUUUACUUGAAUAAUUGAGGAUCCUUUCUGAGCCAGGGUUUUACCUGUGAACUUUCAACACACUGCUUUCUGAAAACACCCUGGGUGCAGGGUUGGGGGACCCAGGCUGGAGUGUGGCUCAGAUCCCUACCAGCUGGGUGACUGCACCCAAGUAACUAUGUGCUUAACUGCAAUUCUGUCCUCUUUAUCAGUGGCCGAGAGCAGCAUUUGGCUCAUCCAGGAGUUAAAUGAGAUGAUCCGUCUUCUCACUUUGCUUCUCCCAUCACCGUGCAAACACGAAUUGCUGUAAUCAACCAGGAGGCCGGGUGCAGAAGGAGACAGGACCUCUUGUCUUCUUAAGUCCAGGUUAAAAGCUGGGCAUGGCGGUAUACACUUGUAAUCCCAGCCCCUUGGGGAGCCGAGGUAGAAGGAUCCCUUUAACCGGAGCAUUUGAAGUCAGCUUGGGUAAUAUAGUGAGACCCCUGUAUUUAAAAAAAAAAUCCAGGUUCGCUGUAAAGAUUCUUUUCAUUCAUCACUUGCAGGCACAAUCUUUGGUUUCCUGGUGGAGAAGAGUGGAGAGCUGCUGGGGUCCAGGUGAGGGCAGAGUUCUUGGGAGUGGGAGUGGACAGAGGAGUCCAGACAGCGGCCAGGGAUGAGGGAUUCAAAAUGUCAAAGGAUGGGAGAGGUCUGCUAAGAAGCAUUAAUAUGUAAUGUUCUUUGAAAGCUGGAGCUCAGAGCAGGUAUCAUUUGAGUUUUUAUCUAAUGGGUAUGUUCUUUGGAAAGUGAUGCCACAUUGGAACGAGGCCAUGCGAGGCCCAGGGAUCAAUUUGGAUUGCAUUUAGGGAAUGAUGAUCAGAAUUCUGGAACUCAGGCAUUGUGUUCAAGGUGCACUGCUUAUUAAAAUAAUCACCCAAGAUCUGAGCUGUUAGAUAAUUUGUUCUUUCUUUCUUU